CACACCCCCAGCUUCUGGCCUGACCCACUGCAGGCAUGUGGCUGGAUUUCCUGAAUCAAAGCUUGUGGCCUACUUUUAUAUUGUACGUUACCUGGACCGAUUCCAAACAGCAGCGGGAAUCAGACAUCAAUUGUUUUGAAAGAACACCGGCAAGAAAAAGAAUAAGCACAUUCAUCAUUUCAUGCCGGCUAGAUAAUUGAAGAAAAGACUUUAAAGACAGAUGCCUGGAACUUCUAAGACUUGUAAUGUUGGGUUUCGCAGGCAGGCGGCUAGUCACCUGCAACAACCAAGGGGUCCUGCAGAAGCUUCCAAGCUGCUGUCAGUAUCAGAUGCCAGGGUCUGGUCGGUGGACAUGGAGGAG